AUCGCUUCUCGGCCUUUUGGCUAAGAUCAAGUGUAGUAUCUGUUCUAAAGGCCAUAUAUGACAAACCCACAGCUAACAUCAUACUCAAUGGGGAAAAGCUAAAACCAUU
rnacentral:snRNA from 1 species